UGUAUGUGAAAGGGGAGGAUGAAAUCUGCCCCUGUCAGAUACUGGCUGCUGUUAAAAAUAGACAUGUCUCUGGUAAGAAAUCUUGGGAUGGGGUAUUGCUGGCAACCUGAUCAAACCUAUCACUUUGCAAUUUUUGCUUUCCUACUUUGUUUUUUGUUUUCCCCCAGUUACAUGAAUGCAUUGUUGCUCAGAGGUUUGUUACUUAUUUUAAACAAACUCUUCCAUACAGUAGUUCCAGCAACCUAGAAAAGACACAAGUUGUUCUGCAAGGGUCAACAAUUCAUAUUAUAUAUUCUAUUUAUAUAAUUUAGCCAGUGUUAGAGCUUUAUCCCAAUAUCAUUUGAUCAUUGUGGGAAAAGUAAUGUGAAUAAUAUUUAAGAUAAAACUGAAAACAGGACUUAAUAACAUUCCUUGUCUGCUGCAAAACAGCCUUAGGAUCUUGACAGCAUCUCAUUCAGUACAGGCAUAUUCAUGAUAUUGCUGUGAGCUCCUGAGAGUUACUCUGCUGCACUCAAGAGUAUUACUGGUGGUAUUUCUGCCGGCAGUCUGCUCAGCCCCUUGCUACCAAAAGUGUUUGUCAGACUCAUUUUGUGAUGUAUGUGGCCUUUUGAGGUCUCCAGUUAAAAGAAGUGUUAAAGCUACAAGACAUUCUUAGCUGUUGACAGCUACAAGACAUUUUCCUAAUCAAAAGAAGUGAGUUCAGAGUGUGGUUGUUAUUGGUGCUCCUGUUCUUUUUUAAACUUCCUUACAGUAAUUGUGCCAAAUGUCACUCUUUGAAGAACAUAAAGGAGCUGAUCAAGUUAAAUUCCAAGAUUGCUUUAUCAUCAUAAAAGGGUAAGGAGUGACUGCAAAUAUUCUUUAUGAAAACCAAAUGGAGGGCUUAAGUUUCUUUCCCUGUUUUUUCUUGAGUGGAGUAAAUCCCAAUUUGUGGUGGCAGGUAUGAGAGGACAAGAAUCCCAGGCAACAAUCCAAGGCAGAAUGCAUCCCAACACCUAAAAAUGAAAUAAUUGAGAGUUGGUUCCUUCUUGCACACUUGACAAUUAGUGAAGAAAGUCACUCUUUCCUCCAGCAGAAAAAAUGUCCUGCUUUGCUUUACUGGCAUUUUCCUAUUGGUGUUUGUUAAGUGUCUCUUCUGGAGCAUGAAUGACCCUACAGCAGAGAGCUGCUAGUAUCUUCUACUCUGUGCAAUAAAAGCAAUUUGGCUUCACUUUUGAGGCUUCAGAGUGGAACUUUACAAGUUUUAAAGAAAUGUAUGUAUGUUGGUGUGUAUGUCAUACAUACACACAGAGCUGUGUAUCUACAUAUAAGGGCAAACUCAUAGUUUAUUAAUGUUCUUGUGGCUGUAAAUACUGAUGAUAUCGGGAAAUGUAACAUGACCUUAUAAAAACCAGUGUAUUAGCACAUGGUAAAGUACAGGCUCCCAUUGUAACUCAGUUGCUAUUUGCUAAUUAACAAAAUUAACUUUCUCAGACACAAAUGGGAAUUAUUGAGUUUUAACUGUUGUUUUGAUUUUUGGUUUUUAAAAAUUUCCAUGGCUAACCUCUUCUUUAUCAGAUGUUCUUCAAGGUUAGCUUGUGUAAUGCAGUGCUGAGAGCAGCUGAAUUUUUUUGCUGGUGCUGGUGACUCCAAAUCUCCUGCACAUCUGCAGUGUGCACCUACUGCCCUGGAGCAGAGGUACCUGCAGUUGCCUGGCUUUCACUCGCAGGUAUAUAGGAAAUCUGUUGUGGUAUUUGAUGUAAUCGUCUCAGUUUCAUUUUGGGGGGUGGAUUUGAGAUCUGAGAUCUCAGCAGAGUUUAGACAAUGUGAUCAUGCUGAAAUGCAGUAUUGGACAGAAGUGGUAAAUAUGCUUACUCAGAGAUCCAGCUGUCAAUUCUUCUAAAAACUGCUGGAUGUGGAUACCAUUUCUGGGACCACAAUGAAAAAGAAAAGUUUGCUUUGGGAAUUGUGCUGUCCUUAGUCAACAUCUUUUUCCAAGUAUAUAAUAAACUUGCCCUGUUGCUGUGUGAGCUCAUGAGCGGAUUGGCAAUGUAGUAGUGAGCCUUUUGAUGUCAAAACAUUACAAUGCACUUAGAGUUGCCAUUGGCUAAUGCUAUUUUAAGUGAGAGAGAGAGUAUGAAUGAGAGUUACAGUAAUGGGCAUUCAUUUGUAGGUCACUGAAGGAUGGAAAGCCUCACGCUGCCUGCAUGUGUGAACUUGGCUGUUGAUCUGCAUAGCAGCAGGACCUGGGGUUCCCUGCAAGUCGUAAGCCGUAUCUCAGGACUGGAAUUCCAGUUUCAUUGCCUGUACACACUAGGAGGACAUCGAAGAUGUUUCUGACAAGGAAGGAGUGGAAUUAUUGGGAGAAUUCAUGGACAGCCAGGAUGGAGUUCCACCUGCAGACUUUCCAGUUGCAGAUUUGAACUGAAAUUCCCACGAGAAGAAUGUUUUGUGUGGUCAUUUCAUGGUGUUUGCGGCCUCUGCCAUGGUUAUAGAACUCAGUGCACUCCUGUGGUCUCCACAUGUCUCCAGUUCCACUUUCCAAAUGCUGUGUCCACUGGAGCUACCCUUAAGUACCCACAGGGGAUCAGUAGGAAGUACUUUAGCCCUCUGCGCACCCCACACUGGCAUUUAGCAAAACAAAUCAAUAUGACAAGACUGCAUUAAUCAGUCUCAAUUAAUCAGAUGAUACCUACUAUUUUAUAUACACAGGCUCUUCUAAGUUACUACAGGGCACCUUCACAUUCUUGCUGAUGUCCUCCCUAUAUGUGGUGCACUGGAAGAGGUGGGGCAGUUUACCUCUGCAUACAGUUUACAUACAGGGACAGAAAGACAAGGAGCUUCAACUGGAUGGGAGCCCUGUCCUCUGAAGAAGUUACUUGUGAAGAGCCAGAAAGAAAAUCAUUAAAUCUGGUAACUGCAUUGAAGUGAGUUUGUAACACAAAUGGACACAGCACAAUUUUCCACAUUCCUUCUGGAUUGGCACUGUGUUGGGAAAGAUGAUAAAGAAAAUUUCUGCUGUGCUGGUUAUAUUUAUGAUAGAUGAAAGCCCCUCUAAAGAUGACACCCUCUUGCUCUCUUUCAUGAUCUUCUGAUGUAUCUUAAGUCUUGAUUGCUGGCUAAGGUAGCAACAUGGAUAAUCAAGCUUUUAAAGGCCCUAUUUAAUAAAUCUUAUAACAACAUUAAGAGAAGCUGAGGUGUAUUCUUCUCUUACAGUGUACCAUUAAAAGAACUGGUAUCACAUUUUCCCUCUAAAAUAGCUCCCAAAAAUUAUCUAAGCUGACUUUGAGGCUCCAGUAGGAUGGCCAUGCAAACCUUCCUGCUUCCUUCUUUAGAAAGAAAAGGGACACUGCAUGAGAGACACUUUUCAAAGUAUUCCUCACCAUCAGCCCAGUGCUGAGGGAUUUGGUGCCCUGCAGCUAGGAAUACUUAGAAGUGUCAUGCAUGUCAGGCCAGUCCUGAGUUGCUAAGUCCCUCUAAAGGGAUUUUGCCAAAAAAGGAGAGGAAUUUAUCACCUAUUAGAACAUAGUUUGGCUGUACUAUGCAAGCAAUUUAAUAAACUCUUUCUGUAGGAGUAGUGGCAGGUUUUGAAAUGAAAGAAGUAGGGCUGCUUCAUUUGCACCGAAGAAUUUUUGCUGUUGACUUCACUGGAGCCAUGGCUCCUUACCAGAUCCAUAUCCUAAAGGGCUAAAGUGCCCUUAAAGGAGUGGCUGCAAAUCGUAAUCUGAGUCCUCAGCUGACAUGACAACCAGCACCAUUCCUGCUUAGGAUCUUGCCCUGCAAACCUGUAACCCCCUAUCUAUAGUAGUCACUCAGUAUUCUAUUUGCCCCCAACUAUUUUUACUGGAACUUCUGUUAAUAAUAAAGAGCAUCUCCUUUCAAAGAAGUGUUUAAAGGCAAAUUAUACUACUGAGUACAUAGUGUUUCAGUGCUUGGGCUUCAAACACUCUGGAACAGACUGAUUUGUUUAAUAGCUACAGUCCUGACUGGAAUGUUUUUAAACUGUGUAAACAUUUCUACUAGUUUUAUGGGUUGCUAAACUUUUUUCUUUUUUCUUUUUUCCUUUUUCUUUUUUUUAAUGCGGGUACAAAUUUAACUUGACAGUGUACUUUCCAAGCCUCCAUUAAAUAGGGCCAACUUGCUAUUGAUAGAGAAAUAUCUCUGGAAUAACUUUAUGAUGCCUUGCAAUAGAAGAUUUUUCAUUAACUCUGCCUAGAAAGAGAAACCCAACCUAACAUGGCUUUGUGAGUUCUUACUGUGCCUUGAUGUCUGUGAGACCCCUGCUGGUGGAAAGGUGAAGAGAUGGGAAUGAAAAACUCCAAGAUAAUUUAAUGGAGAAAGGAAUUUAUUUUCAGAGUAUGUUGUGUUUGCCAGCCACUGUUAUCAUGCAGCCACCAAAGACCUCAGUGCUUUGAAAUUUCUCACUUACAGGUUGCAGUUUGUUGGUGCUUUCCUCACAUAAUUGUGUUUUAUCUCUCUUCAAGUGUGUCAGUGCUGCUUUAAAAGAUCAGUAUAGAAAUAUUCAGCUACACCGUCUGGUUUCAGUUUUCCUUAAUUUGGUGUCAGCCAAGAUCAAUCUUAUACAGCCUGGAUGAUUCAAAAGGACAGAGUUAAACCUGUUGCAUUUUAGGGAUUUAAGCCUUCCUUUUCCUCCUGUAAAUUUUGACCUUUUCAAAAUGGGCUUCCCCCUCCCCCUCAAGAAAGUGGAACAUAAAAUAAAUGUUUGCUACUUUUCCAGAGGAGCCAAAUUCCAUGCAUUCUGGCUGCUUUUUACUCACACAAAAAUUAUUCCAAAAUAAUUUAUCAUUAUUUACAAAAUGACACUGUAUGUUACUGUAACAGUAACAGCUAACUUGGCCCUUUGAAAGUUAAGUACUUUCUCAAGAAAUUUCAAUCUAAGAGGCAAAACACUGAUCAUGGUGACCUUGGGAAAAUACAACCUCAAGAAAGUAGUGGAUGUUUGUGAUUAUUUUGAAAUCUCCCAGCUGCAUCAGUUUCCCAUUGAGGCAAUUUGUGCUUGUGUCACACCCCACAGAGUGGUUCUUUUGCUUUCCCCGUCUGCAGCCUGGGUCCUGGAGAGGUAAAGGAGCAGGGGCAGCUUUAGUCCCUUCUGCUGAUGAGUUUCCUGGGGAAGGAAAAUGUGCUGUGCAUAAAAAAAAUAAAAAUCUAUGUAACUGUUGCCUGAUUGUUUGUCUGGUGAUGGGACUAAGCAGAGUUGUGGUGGGUACCAAUCCAUGCCAUGUAGAUUUGUUUCCUCUGUUCCCGAUAGCGUGACUGAGCCUUGGGAACAGUUAGUGGGAUCAUUGAUGAGCUGCUGAAUUCUUCCUUGUCUACUUUCUUUUGUCUAGGUUGCCUCAAAUUAUCACUGAAUUUUAUUGUUUUUAUACACACACAACUUUUAAAUCCACACAGAUGACACUUUUGGUGAAAAUGCAUUACACAUGUCUCAGACUUCGCAGCUGUUAGAGCACCAAUGAAGGAAAUACAUUUGGUAACUGAGCUGGGAAAGAAAGGUGCUUGGAGAUGCAGUUUCUAAUGCUUUCUUAUAGAUAUUCCCAUUAGACCAUACAAAGAACUCUUUCUGACUAUAUUAAGAAAGAAACAGGAGAAUAUAAUUUUUUAAAGAAAUCUUUUAAAACUAAAAUGUUUGGGAGCUUGAUUAAAUGUACUGUGAGAAAAAUGUGCAGUUCACUUACAGCUAUUGACUUGAGGUUUAUGCAGUAUUGCCAAGUGCUGGA